CCUACGGGAGGCAGCAGUGAGGAAUAUUGGUCAAUGGUCGGGAGACUGAACCAGCCAAGCCGCGUGAGGGAUGAAGGUACUGAGUAUCGUAAACCUCUUUUGUCAGGGAACAAAGGCUGGGACGCGUCCCCUUGUGCGUGUACCUUACGAACAAGGAUCGGCUAACUCCGUGCCAGCAGCCGCGGUAAUACGGAGGAGGCGAGCGGUAUCCGGAUUUAUUGGGUUUAAAGGGUGCGCAGGCGGUCUGUUAAGUCAGCGGUGAAAGGCCGUGGCUCAACCCUGGCACGGCAGUUGAAACUGGCAGGCUUGAGUUGGGGAGAGGGAGGCGGAAUGCGAGGUGUAGCGGUGAAAUGCUUAGAUAUCGCGCAGAACACCGAUUGCGAAGGCAGCAUGCCGGCCCAAGACUGACGCUGAGGCACGAAAGCGUGGGGAUCAAACAGGAUUAGAUACCCUUGUAGUC
rnacentral:rRNA from 1 species